rnacentral:rRNA from 1 species
CUGGCUCAGGAUGAACGCUAGCUACAGGCUUAACACAUGCAAGUCGAGGGCGGCAUUGGGAUAGCUUGCUAUUCAGAUGGCGACCGGCGCACGGGUGAGUAACGCGUAUCCAACCUUCCUGCCAGUAGGGAACAGCCCGGCGAAAGUCGGAUUAAUGCCCUAUGUUCUUCAAUGCGGACAUCUAAGUUGAAGGAAAGAUUCAUCGCUGGCAGAUGGGGAUGCGUCCGAUUAGCUUGCCGGCGGGUAACGGCCCACCGGGCGACGAUCGGUAGGGGUUCUGAGAGGAAGGUCCCCCACACUGGUACUGAGACACGGACCAGACUCCUACGGGAGGCAGCAGUGAGGAAUAUUGGUCAAUGGGCGUAAGCCUGAACCAGCCAAGUAGCGUGCAAGGAUGACGGCCCUACGGGUUGUAAACUGCUUUUAUGCGGGGAUAAAGUGCGGCACGUGUGCCGCUUUGCAGGUACCGCAUGAAUAAGGACCGGCUAAUUCCGUGCCAGCCGCAGC